rnacentral:piRNA from 1 species
ACACAAACUCUGUCGGAAGCGCGGG